rnacentral:rRNA from 1 species
UCGGGAAUUUUGGGCAAUGGGGGAAACCCUGACCCAGCAACGCCGCGUGAAGGAUGAAGUAUUUCGGUAUGUAAACUUCGAAAGAAUAGGAAGAAUAAAUGACGGUACUAUUUAUAAGGUCCGGCUAACUACGUGCCAGCAGCCGCGGUAAUACGUAGGGACCAAGCGUUGUUCGGAUUUACUGGGCGUAAAGGGCGCGUAGGCGGCUUGACAAGUCACUUGUGAAAUCUCUGGGCUUAACCCAGAACGGCCAAGUGAAACUGUCAUGCUAGAGUGCAGAAGGGGCAAUCGGAAUUCUUGGUGUAGCGGUGAAAUGCGUAGAUAUCAAGAGGAACACCUGAGGUGAAGACGGGUUGCUGGGCUGACACUGACGCUGAGGCGCGAAAGCCAGGGGAGCAAACGGGAUUAGGAUACCCAAGUAGUCCCUGAGCGGGCUGGCAAGGCGCAU